rnacentral:rRNA from 1 species
AGAUUGAACGCUAGCGGGAUGCUUUACACAUGCAAGUCGAACGGCAGCGCGGACUUCGGUCUGGCGGCGAGUGGCGAACGGGUGAGUAAUAUAUCGGAACGUGCCCAGUAGCGGGGGAUAACUACGCGAAAGCGUGGCUAAUACCGCAUACGCCCUACGGGGGAAAGGGGGGAUCGCAAGACCUCUCACUAUUGGAGCGGCCGAUAUCAGAUUAGCUAGUUGGUGAGGUAAAGGCUCACCAAGGCGACGAUCUGUAGCUGGUUUGAGAGGACGACCAGCCACACUGGGACUGAGACACGGCCCAGACUCCGUACGGGAGGCAGCAGUGGGAAUUUGGACAAUGGGCGCAAGCCUGAUCCAGCAGUGCCGCGUGCAGGAAGAAGGCCGUUCGGUUGUAAACGUGUACUUUUGUACGGUAACGAAACGGUCCGUAGGUUAAUACCGUAGGUCGUAAGUGACGGUAACCGUAAGAAGUAAGACGACCGACUAACUACGUA